UCCAGCAGCCGCGGUAAUACGGAGGAUGCAAGCGUUAUCCGGAUUUAUUGGGUUUAAAGGGUGCGCAGGCGGAAUGAUAAGUCAGUGGUGAAAUCCUACAGCUUAACUGUAGAACUGCCAUUGAUACUGUUGUUCUUGAGUACAUUUGUAGUGGGCGGAAUGUGUCAUGUAGCGGUGAAAUGCUUAGAGAUGACACAGAACACCGAUCGCGAAGGCAGCUCACUAAGCUGUAACUGACGCUGAGGCACGAAAGCGUGGGGAUCAAACAGGAUUAGAUACCCUGGUAGUCCACGCUGUAAACGAUGAUCACUCGAUGUUGGCGAUACACUGUCAGCGUCUUAGCGAAAGCUUUAAGUGAUCCACCUGGGGAGUACGACCGCAAGGUUGAAACUCAAAGGAAUUGACGGGGGCCCGCACAAGCGGAGGAGCAUGUGGUUUAAUUCGAUGAUACGCGAGGAACCUUACCUGGGCUUAAAUGUAGGACGACUGUCCCCGAAAGGGGAUUUUCCUUCGGGACGUCUUACAAGGUGCUGCAUGGUUGUCGUCAGCUCGUGCCGUGAGGUGUCGGGUUAAGUCCCAUAACGAGCGCAACCCCUAUCCUUAGUUGCCAUCAGGUAAUGCUGGGGACUCUAAGGAAACUGCCUACGCAAGUAGUGAGGAAGGUGGGGAUGACGUCAAAUCAGCACGGCCCUUAUGUCCAGGGCUACACACGUGCUACAAUGGACGGUACAGAGGGCUGCUACCUGGUGACAGGAUGCUAAUCUCGAAAACCGUUCUCAGUUCGGAUCGAAGUCUGCAACUCGACUUUGUGAAGUUGGAUUCGCUAGUAAUCGCGCAUCAGCCAUGGCGCGGUG
rnacentral:rRNA from 1 species